AUUCCAGCUCCAAUAGCGUAUAUUAAAGUUGUUGCGGUUAAAAAGCUCGUAGUUGGAUUUCUGCUGAGGACGACCGGUCCGCCCUCUGGGUGAGUAUCUGGCUUGGCCUUGGCAUCUUCUUGGAGAACGUAGCUGCACUUGACUGUGUGGUGCGGUAUCCAGGACUUUUACUUUGAGGAAAUUAGAGUGUUUCAAGCAGGCACACGCCUUGAAUACAUUAGCAUGGAAUAAUAAGAUAGGACCUUGGUUCUAUUUUGUUGGUUUCUAGAGCUGAGGUAAUGAUUAACAGGGACAGUCAGGGGCACUCGUAUUCCGCCGAGAGAGGUGAAAUUCUGAGACCAGCGGAAGACGAACCACUGCGAAAGCAUUUGCCAGGGAUGUUUUCAUUA
rnacentral:rRNA from 1 species